rnacentral:rRNA from 1 species
GACGAACCGUGCGAACGUUGUUCGGAUUCACUGGGCUUAAAGGGCGCGUAGGCGGUCGACCAAGUCUGGGGUGAAAUCUUUCGGCUCAACCGGAAAAGUGCCCCCGAUACUGGCCGGCUAGAGGGAGAUAGGGGCAUGCGGAACUUCCGGUGGAGCGGUGAAAUGCGUAGAUAUCGGAAGGAACGCCGGUGGCGAAAGCGGCGUGCUGGAUCUCUUCUGACGCUGAGGCGCGAAAGCCAGGGGAGCAA